UACGUAGGGGGCUAGCGUUGUCCGGAAUUAUUGGGCGUAAAGCGCGCGCAGGCGGUCCUUUAAGUCUGAUGUGAAAGCCCACGGCUCAACCGUGGAGGGUCAUUGGAAACUGGAGGACUUGAGUACAGAAGAGGAAAGCGGAAUUCCACGUGUAGCGGUGAAAUGCGUAGAGAUGUGGAGGAACACCAGUGGCGAAGGCGGCUUUCUGGUCUGUAACUGACGCUGAGGCGCGAAAGCGUGGGGAGCAAACAGG
rnacentral:rRNA from 1 species